rnacentral:rRNA from 1 species
ACGCUGGCGGCAGGCCUAACACAUGCAAGUCGAGCGGUAGAGAGAAGCUUGCUUCUCUUGAGAGCGGCGGACGGGUGAGUAAUGCCUAGGAAUCUGCCUGGUAGUGGGGGAUAACGUUCGGAAACGGACGCUAAUACCGCAUACGUCCUACGGGAGAAAGCAGGGGACCUUCGGGCCUUGCGCUAUCAGAUGAGCCUAGGUCGGAUUAGCUAGUUGGUGAGGUAAUGGCUCACCAAGGCGACGAUCCGUAACUGGUCUGAGAGGAUGAUCAGUCACACUGGAACUGAGACACGGUCCAGACUCCUACGGGAGGCAGCAGUGGGGAAUAUUGGACAAUGGGCGAAAGCCUGAUCCAGCCAUGCCGCGUGUGUGAAGAAGGUCUUCGGAUUGUAAAGCACUUUAAGUUGGGAGGAAGGGUUGUAGAUUAAUACUCUGCAAUUUUGACGUUACCGACAGAAUAAGCACCGGCUAACUCUGUGCCAGCAGCCGCGGUAAUACAGAGGGUGCAAGCGUUAAUCGGAAUUACUGGGCGUAAAGCGCGCGUAGGUGGUUUGUUAAGUUGGAUGUGAAAUCCCCGGGCUCAACCUGGGAACUGCAUUCAAAACUGACUGACUAGAGUAUGGUAGAGGGUGGUGGAAUUUCCUGUGUAGCGGUGAAAUGCGUAGAUAUAGGAAGGAACACCAGUGGCGAAGGCGACCACCUGGAAUAAUACUGACACUGAGGUGCGAAAGCGUGGGGAGCAAAC